rnacentral:rRNA from 1 species
GUGCCAGCCGCCGCGGUAAGACGAGCCUGACAAACGUUAUUCGGAAUCACUGGGCUUAAAGGGUGCGUAGGCGGCGCGGAGGGUGGGAUGUGAAAUCCCCCGGCUCAACCGGGGAAUUGCGUCCCAAACCGCCGUGCUCGAGGAAGAUAGAGGUGAGCGGAACAGAUGGUGAAGCGGUGAAAUGCGUUGAUAUCAUCUGGAACACCCGUGGCGAAAGCGGCUCACUGGGUCUUCUCUGACGCUGAGGCACGAAAGCUAGGGUAGCGAACGGGAUUAGAUACCCCCGUAGUCC